rnacentral:rRNA from 1 species
AGGGUUCGAUUCUGGCUCAGAAUGAACGGCUGGCGGCAUGGAUUAGGCAUGCAAGUCGAACGGGGCCCUUCGGGGCCCAGUGGCGGAAGGGUCGAGUAACACGUGAGCAACCCGCCCCCAAGGCCGGAACAAGCGCUGGAAACGGCGUCUGAAACCGGAUGAGGACCCCCCUCGCAUGUGGGGUCGUCCAAAAUAUUCAUACCCUGGGGAUGGGCUCGCGGCCCAUUAGCUUGUCGGCGGGGCAACGGCCCACCGAGGCGACGACGGGUAGGUGGUCUGAGAGGAUCGGUCACCCACACUGGGACUGAGACACUGCCCAGACUCCUGCGGGAGGCUGCAGUCGAGAAUCUUCCGCAAUGGGCGCAAAAGCCUGACGGAGCGAUGCCGCGUGAGGGACGGAGGCCUUCGGGUCGUGAACCUCUGUCGCCCGGGACGUAUGAUGACGGUACCGGGAAAGGAAGCCACGGCUAACCACGUGCCAGCCGCGGC